rnacentral:rRNA from 1 species
CGGUGAAUACGUUCCCGGACCUUGUACACACCGCCCGUCAAGCCAUGGGAGUUGGGUGGACCUGAAGAUCGUAACCGUUUAGGAGCGAUUUAGGGUAAAACCAGCGACUGGGCU